AGAAGAGAUUUUAACAGUGGGGGAGCACAGUGAAGACUGGAGUUAGUACUGGAAGAGUUAAGCCCAGUCAAGAAGGGACAAAAUCUUCAGCCUUGGCAGCCAAGGGUAUGCGCAGGAAAGAGAAGAGAGAAGGCUAGCGACUGACCUCCGCCGUCACGGCUGUCCCGGCAGCGCCAUCAAUGGGAACAGCAAGGUCAGUGGGAGCAGCAUCUUACGGAGUCAGAGGAGGAAGACGUGGAGAGACUUUCGGUUUGAGAGGAAUCCUCUGGCUCUGGAUUUGCCUGGAUGACAAACGUGAAGACAACCAUUCUACCCCAAGAAGAGACCCUUGCUGAGAAACGAUCCCAUAUGCAAGUAUUUAAUUGUUCCCAGAGGUCUGAGGCAGUGGGCUGAGAUAAGAAACUCCAGCAACACUUCACCAGCCUGUGGAUUAUGUCAUUCAAUCUGCAGUGUUAAGAGCAUUUGUGAAGAUUUCGUUCAGAAGAUAUCAUUAUUGCCUGAGUCGUGGCUUGAUACACUCUGCAGAAUAGUGUAGUAGGAACUAUGUUCUUCACAAAAGUCACAAGAUAAUAACGAGGAUGCAGGUUGGGAAUGAAAGAUGCCAAAUAAUCUGCUCAAUUCAAUAAAGCAAUUUGACAGGCA